GUUGCUGGAGGUAUCAGAAGUGCGAAUGCUGACAUAAGUAACGAUAAAGCGGGUGAAAAGCCCGCUCGCCGGAAGACCAAGGGUUCCUGUCCAACGUUAAUCGGGGCAGGGUGAGUCGACCCCUAAGGCGAGGCCGAAAGGCGUAGUCGAUGGGAAACGGGUUAAUAUUCCCGUACUUGGUGUUACUGCGAAGGGGGGACGGAGAAGGCUAUGUUGGCCGGGCGACGGUUGUCCCGGUUUAAGCGUGUAGGUGUGUGUUCCAGGUAAAUCCGGUUCACUUUAACACUGAGGCGUGAUGACGAGGCACUACGGUGCUGAAGCAACAAAUGCCCUGCUUCCAGGAAAAGCCUCUAAGCAUCAGGUAACAUCAAAUCGUACCCCAAACCGACACAGGUGGUCAGGUAGAGAAUACCAAGGCGCUUGAGAGAACUCGGGUGAAGGAACUAGGCAAAAUGGUGCCGUAACUUCGGGAGAAGGCACGCUGACA
rnacentral:rRNA from 1 species